UACGGAAGGCAGCAGUGGGGAAUAUUGGACAAUGGGCGAAAGCCUGAUCCAGCCAUGCCGCAUGAGUGAAGAAGGCCUUCGGGUUGUAAAGCUCUUUUAGUGAGAAAGAUAAUGACGGUACUCACAGAAGAAGUCCUGGCUAACUCCGUGCCAGCAGCCGCGGUAAUACGGAGAGGGCUAGCGUUAUUCGGAAUUAUUGGGCGUAAAGAGCGCGUAGGCUGAUUAGUAAGUUAAAAGUGAAAUCCCAAAGCUUAACUUUGGAAUUGCUUUUUAAAACUGCUAGUCUAGAGAUUGAAAGAGGAUAGAGGAAUUCCUAGUGUAGAGGUGAAAUUCGUAAAUAUUAGGAGGAACACCAGUGGCGAAGGCGUCUAUCUGGUUCAAAUCUGACGCUGAGGCGCGAAGGCGUGGGGAGCAAACAGGGAUUAGAUACCCUCCUGCCCAAAGGGCACACAGGGGAUAGG
rnacentral:rRNA from 1 species